rnacentral:lncRNA from 1 species
AAUUCUUCAAAUCUAAGAAGCUUGAUUUUCAACUGAAAUUUCAGUCGGGUACACCUCAAAUCAGUUGCCAAAGUUCCUCAAACUUCGAAUUCAAAUUUUCAAAAUGGUUUCCAACAAUUGAAGAUAACACCCAGUGGAUUUAUGAGUAAUUUUUUUUCCGAUCUUAAACAAAACCAAAAGGUCAGAUCUUGCUAACCCAUGAGGGUUUGAUUUUUUUUUUUUUUAGAUUUUCAAUAAAGUUGUUCUUUGAGAGUUGAUAAAAUUUUAUUUGUAUCGAUUCAUCGUUAAUCUGGAGAUGCAAAAAAUGUAGUUUUCUUUAGUUCCUUCCUUUGUCCCUAUUCUAUUCUCUUUCAAUCUCAAAACUUAGAAGAAAAAAUAAUAUAAGGCAAGUUAAAGUUGCUGCUAAAGGCAAAGGCCAUGUAUAGCAGCAAGAAAAGGAAAAUGUGGCUCUGAUGAUGUUAACCAAAUUGGGGAAAAAUGAAAUUGGGAUUUCAAAGAAUAAGAAUAGUGACGUGUUAGGACACCCGUAGAGUUAAGGUGUGUAAAUGAUUUUUCCGUACAAGUUUAAUGAGGUAUUUAUAUAUUAUCUCAAAAAAAACAAAGCUUCAAGAGAAACAAAAUCUAGUCUGCAAAGAAGAAAAAGAUCUUGUAUUGGUGUGUUUGUCUUCUCUAUAGUCUGCAAUAAAAUCUUCUUCUCUAUAACAUAUGCUCCAUAGAAGUACAAAUAAUUUGAGAACGUUCUUCUAAAGAAAAAUAAGGGGAUGUUGCCUUUGACAACCUUCAAUGUUGUCAUGGAACUAGAAACGAGAAGAAGGAUUGGAGAUAUUUCAACUACAUUAUUUAUUAAAAAAAGCAAAAGAGAUUCUUAUUUCAACCUAGAUACAGAAAUGGGAGCCUAUAAGUGUUGGAUGAGCGUAUGUUAUUCUUUGUUUUAAAAGAGGAAGAGAUGCAAUCAGGCCAUUAGAUUUUUAUAUGUACACAUGACUUUCAUCUACAUAUUUAUUGAAAAUAACUUGAGCUAAUAUGGAUCCCUAUACCCCCAACUUUAGAGUAUUUUCUUAUGAUUUGUUUGGUUCACUAAUAACAGACAGAAGCAACACUCAACCAAGAAAACAGUCCGCAGAAGGUCAUGUUUGUCGUCAACAAGAAGAUGG